UAGGGAAUCUUCCACAAUGGGCGCAAGCCUGAUGGAGCAACACCGCGUGAGUGAAGAAGGGUUUCGGCUCGUAAAGCUCUGUUGUUAAAGAAGAACACGUAUGAGAGUAACUGUUCAUACGUUGACGGUAUUAACCAGAAGUCACGGCUAACUACGUGCUAG
rnacentral:rRNA from 1 species